rnacentral:rRNA from 1 species
UACAGAGGUUCCAAGCGUUGCUCGGAUUCAUUGGGCGUAAAGGGUGCGUAGGCGGCGCGGUAAGUCGGGUGUGAAAUCUCGGAGCUUAACUCCGAAACUGCAUUCGAUACUGCCGUGCUUGAGGACUGGAGAGGAGACUGGAAUUUACGGUGUAGCGGUGAAAUGCGUAGAUAUCGUAAGGAAGACCAGUGGCGAAGGCGGGUCUCUGGACAGUUCCUGACGCUGAGGCACGAAGGCCAGGGGAGCAAACGGG